rnacentral:rRNA from 1 species
CACGUAGGGUGCGAGCGUUUGUCCGGAAUUAUUGGGCGUAAAGAGCUCGUAGGCGGUGUGUCGCGUCGGCCGUGAAAACCUGCAGCUUAACUGUGGGCUUGCGGUCGAUACGGGCAUCACUGGAGUUCGGCAGGGGAGACUGGAAUUCCUGGUGUAGCGGUGAAAUGCGCAGAUAUCAGGAGGGAACACCCGGUGGGCGAAAGGCGGGUCUCUGGGCCGUAACUGACGC